UACGGAGGAUGCAAGCGUUAUCCGGAUUCAUUGGGUUUAAAGGGUGCGUAGGCGGACCUGUAAGUCAGUGGUGAAAUCCUGCAGCUUAACUGCAGAACUGCCAUUGAUACUGUGGGUCUUGAGUUCGGUUGAGGUAGGCGGAAUGUGUAAUGUAGCGGUGAAAUGCUUAGAUACUACACAGAACACCGAUUGCGUAGGCAGCUUACUGGACCGAUUACUGACGCUGAGGCACGAAAGCGUGGGGAUCAAACAGG
rnacentral:rRNA from 1 species